rnacentral:rRNA from 1 species
AUUGAACGCUGGCGGCAGGCUUAACACAUGCAAGUCGAGCGAGCGGCGGACGGGUGAGUAAUGUCUGGGACACUGCCUGAUGGGGGGGGAUAACUACUGGAAACGGUAGAUAAUACCGCAUACCAUAAGAUGUUCCCAGAUGGGAUUAGCGAGUAGGUGGGGUAAUGGCUCACCUAGGCGACGAUCCCUAGCUGGUCUGAGAGGAUGACCGUCCACACUGGAACUGAGACACGGUCCAGACUCCUACGUGAGGCAGCAGUGGGGAAUAUUGCACAAUGGGCGCAAGCCUGAUGCAGCCAUGCCGCGUGUGUGAAGAAGGCCUUCGGGUUGUAAAGCACUGUCAGCGAGGAGGCGUUACUCGCAGAAGAAGCACCGGCUAACUCCGUGCCAGCAGCCGCGGUAAUUC